rnacentral:rRNA from 1 species
GCUCAGAGUGAACGCUGGCGGCGUGCCUAAUACAUGCAAGUCGAACGAUGAAGCUUCUAGCUUGCUAGAAGUGGAUUAGUGGCGCACGGGUGAGUAAGGUAUAGUUAAUCUGCCCUACACAAGAGGACAACAGUUGGAAACGACUGCUAAUACUCUAUACUCCUGCUUAACACAAGUUGAGUAGGGAAAGUUUUUCGGUGUAGGAUGAGACUAUAUAGUAUCAGCUAGUUGGUAAGGUAAUGGCUUACCAAGGCUAUGACGCUUAACUGGUCUGAGAGGAUGAUCAGUCACACUGG